ACUGCAAGUGAUGAUAAAAAGACAGGGACAUCAGCACUACUUUGUAGAAUGUUGACUUCGUCGUUUGGGAAUCUCUCUGAUGCAGU